rnacentral:rRNA from 1 species
UACGUAGGGGGCGAGCGUUGUCCGGAUUCAUUGGGCGUAAAGCGCUUUAAGGCGGUUCGCUAAGUCGGGUGUGAAACCUCCAGGCUCAACCUGGAGACGCCACUCGAUACUGGCGUGACUAGAGUUCGGUAGGGGGACCACGGAAUUCCUGGUGUAGCGGUGAAAUGCGCAGAUAUCAGGAGGAACACCAGUGGCGAAGGCGGUGGUCUGGGCCGAUACUGACGCUGUAGAGCGAAAGCGUGGGGAGCGAACAGG